AACCCCGGUUCUCCACACCAUCCUCGCUUGAUCAUCGUUGCUCCUUACCCGGUUCACUCACCCUCGUCAUCCGUUCAGUCGGCUGGGCUCAUCCUCCAGUCCUCACCUCUCGGGCUCCCUCCACGGCGCCCUCCCGGGUCCUCCCUGCUCCUCGCCUCACCACCCGUGCCUCGCCCGCUCCUCGGUCCUCCGUGCCCGCGUCCCCUGGCGUCCACCUCUCCUCCCUCACCUCUUCCCUAGCCCCCUCCGUGAACCAUCAAUAAAACCUCCUUCCCUCUGAGUGUUGCGUUUGGGUCCUUUCUGUCCCAUCUCCCAACAAACUGCUGAAAAGGUUCUAACAUUGAAGCAUAUCUAAUGUCAGAUAGCUUAUAAUAUGUAUGUACUUUUACUACUGAUUAAAGGAUAUGAAGCUGA